AUCUAAUUUUAAAUUAUGGUACCUGUGGCUUAACUUCGAUUCGCUUCGGUAUAUUCCUUAACGUAUGGGCGGCCUAACCACAUCCGUCUUCCGGUACGCGGUCUCCACUCGGCAACUAUUUGACUCCAGCGGCAAUCUGUGACAAUUAGUACGAUAAACGCAUGUAAAAGGAAGACAAGCAAAUGUUAUUAAUGAAAUAACCGUUUUUUAACUCUCUUUAUAUUACCAAUAAUUAAAUAUUCAAGCCCGUCUAAAACUCAUAAUCACGACAUCUAUUGUUAAGUAGCGGAACUAGGUUGACUUUUGAAUGCUAGAUGGCGGUGGCAGUACUAUAAGUACAAUCGAAUUUAAAAGAACAACCUGUGCACAUUCAUAAUUCAGUCAUAAAUUAAUUAUUAUCAUCUAGAUCUUAUGUAUAUACUGUAUGUUUACUUCUAGUAGUAUAUAAAAGAUAGUUUGGUAAUAAGUAGGAGCAGCAGGUAAGUGCUUAAAAUGUACGGUAUAAUGCCUGUCUUCAAAGAAGUGUUUCCGAAGAUUGUGUUUAAAAAAAACACAAAUUACAAAUUAUUACGAGCGACUGACAUUUUAAAAAUUUACAUAAAGUUCCCUUUCUUUUAAAGUUGAUUAAAAAAUACACAUAAAGGAAUCCGGAACAACUACAUGAAAAUUUGAAAUGCAAACUUUAACAUCAUCAAACUUUCAAUGAGGUUGCAAACCUUAUCCAAAAAGUUUUAGUGAAAAUUUAAGAUAUGUGUAUAAAAAAAAACUACUUCUCAAAGAACUAUUAAGUCUUAUUACAUUACGACUGUUCGUGCUAGAACGCUAUAAUGAUUAACAAUAUCAAUAAGACUAAGAAGACAGAAAAUGAAUGGUAUAGCACGCGCCUUAUUCACAGACCAGGAUACAAGUUGAAUAGAACUCUUAACCCAAAAACAAUAAUUGUCUCUGGGCUGUCACUCUGUUGCCAUCUACAAUAAUGUAUAUUUUUUAAUACGCUUUUAUUAGCGUAUGUAUGUUAGUAUGUUAGCUUUUGUACAAUAAAAUGCUUUUUUUUACUAUGAAA